rnacentral:rRNA from 1 species
ACACUCCUACGGGAGGCAGCAGUGGGGAAUAUUGCACAAUGGGCGCAAGCCUGAUGCAGCCAUGCCGCGUGUAUGAAGAAGGCCUUCGGGUUGUAAAGUACUUUCAGCGGGGAGGAAGGCGAUAAGGUUAAUAACCUUGUCGAUUGACGUUACCCGCAGAAGAAGCACCGGCUAACUCCGUGCCAGCAGCCGCGGUAAUACGGAGGGUGCAAGCGUUAAUCGGAAUUACUGGGCGUAAAGCGCACGCAGGCGGUCUGUCAAGUCGGAUGUGAAAUCCCCAGGCUCAACCUGGGAACUGCAUUCGAAACUGGCAGGCUAGAGUCUUGUAGAGGGGGGUAGAAUUCCAGGUGUAGCGGUGAAAUGCGUAGAGAUCUGGAGGAAUACCGGUGGCGAAGGCGGCCCCCUGGACAAAGACUGACGCUCAGGUGCGAAAGCGUGGGGAGCAAACAGGAUUAGAUACCCGAGUAGUCCCAU